CUAAUAUGAACAAACGAUAGUCACAUCUCUAGCACCAUUACAGAGAGCGGACAGAAACACCGCACACACACAUGCACAGAGAAAGAAUUGAGAUGUCGACGAGCAGACAAGAUAGAGAUGGCGCUUAAUGUGGCGUAAUAAAGCCAAUAUGGUCCAAAGCCUUUGCAGGUCCGCAUAAUGAUAGAGACGCAUGAGGCACUGCAAACGGUUGGCGAUAUUGCCAGGACAAGAACUAUCAAGAGAUUUUAGCGACGAGAUCGUUGGAAACACUGAGGGAGAAAACACAGUCUAUGAACGAAGAAAGCGGAUGAUUUAAUGAACUCAUGUUGCUCUUUUCCAUAGUCAAUUUUCCCCAGUUUCUCUGUUCAUAAUAUUUUGCUUUACACAUUUAUGGAGCGAACUUGAACUAUUCCGGAAAAUACACCAGCAAAUAUUUUGCUAUGAUUAUUUUUUACUUUUGAUUUUCCAUUUAAUCCUAGCUUGUUGUGUUGUAAUGUUUCCCCACAUGUUCCUAUAAAUAUAAACAAUUGAAAAAUCGAAUACCGGAGCUCUGCGUCAACGAGCGGUUGACUCCUGACAACAUCAUCGUCCAAAUAUUACGAAAACUCAAUAAACCAAAUGUGAUUUUGUUCAAAAUACUGGUUUACAUUUAAAAAUAUUGUUUGUUGUAUAUUCUUUUGUUA